GGGAGAAAGCAUUUGAGGUGAAGCCUAAAUAGUAAGUAGCCAGUCUAUGAAAAUUUAGAGGAAGAAUGUUCCAGGCAGAGGAAGCAGCAGUUUAAAAGACUCUGGGUCGUGUAGAGAACAAAAGAGCUGCCUAAUGGGGCUGGAGUGCAGUAACGGAGCAGGGGAGCAGGAGUCCCAGGGUGAGCAGCAGGCCACAGGCUGGUAACCAUGAGAGAUUUCGAAACAGAAGGACAUGAUCUGAUUAUGCCUAUUUUUUAAAAUCUUGGCUCCCCCUCCCCCACCACCCCACCUUGGAAAAUGGAAUGUAGGCUAUAGUGCCUGUCACAUAGAGCUUGCAGUUAGGUGCCUGUCAUCAGGGGAGAGUUAUAGUCUUCUUUGUGUCCUUGUGAAGUCUCUAUGAUGGAGGUGUGGGUGGCAGAUUGGAAAAAGUUAAGAAGGUAAGCUAGAAAGAAAAGAGCUAGAGAAGAGGAGGGCCUGAACUGAGACGGUGCAUGAACAUAAAAAAAUAUUUGCAGGAGAGACUUGAGAGAGUGACAGGUGCACUUUAGAUGGCAUUCCUUUCAUUGUCUGAAGAUUUGUUCGGUAGCUGUACCAUUAGUUAUGAAUCUAAUCUGUCCCAUCUGGAUUGGAUCAUAGCCUAUUAAAAGGUCAACAGACCUGCUCAUUAGAAACAGUGAAAAACAGAUUGGUACAAGAAACACCUUUUUAAUCAAAGCAGCAUGGCAGCGGCUAGAUAUUUUAAUUUCAUUU
rnacentral:lncRNA from 1 species